UGGGGAAUAUUGGGCAAUGGGGGAACCCCUGACCCAGCAACGCCGCGUGAAGGAAGAAGGCUUUCGGGUUGUAAACUUCUUUGACCAGGGACGAAACAAAUGACGGUACCUGGAAAACAAGCCACGGCUAACUACGUGCCAGCAGCCGCGGUAAUACGUAGGUGGCAAGCGUUGUCCGGAGUUACUGGGUGUAAAGGGCGCGUAGGCGGGACUGCAAGUCAGAUGCGAAAUCUGGGGGCUUAACCCUCAAACUGCAUUUGAAACUGUAGUUCUUGAGUAUCGGAGAGGCAGGCGGAAUUCCAGGUGUAGCGGUGAAAUGCGUAGAUAUCAAUAGGAACGCCAAUGGCGAAAGCAGCUUUUUGGAGGAUUCCUGACUCUGAGGCACGAAGGCUAGGGUAGCAAGCA
rnacentral:rRNA from 1 species